rnacentral:lncRNA from 1 species
AAAAAUUUCAUGUUGAAUCUAAUGUCACGGGCCAAAGUUCAAAGCCCGUGACCAUGACACAAGAUGCGCCCCGUGGAGGUCGAUCAAUUAGAUGGGAACAUUUAGUCCACGAGAACUGGCCCAAUUCCAAGAAUUGUUGGAGAAGCCUAUCAGAUUGAAGCCUGGUUGGCCCGAUAAUGAAGAUAUGACAACUUAGGCUAUUUU